GUGGAAAACCAAAAAAAUGGUUAAAAUUUCAAUAACAAGCGAAAAUUUUCGUUCCGCCAUUGUUUUUUUCAGCGACUCAAAGGAUCGGGCUCCGUUUUUCUUCCUUAAAUUUCGCAACACAGUUUCAAAGUUUCAUUUUAGGCAGUCGCUGUUAGAGCGCGGAGGAACGCGGAGCAAUCGAGUCGAGGAACAUGCUGAGAAAAUUUGUCAUCAACUGCAGCGGAAAAAAUGCACCAAAAAGACCACCCGAUAAGAACAAAAAAGUUCCGGAUUUGGAACUCAAGUUUGAAGCGCUAUUCGAAGAGUAAAAGGAAUAUGAAUCAGCUCAACCGAAAAUCGAUUUGAACCCAGGAACCUACAGAAAAUUGGAAAUCGAUUUUAUGAUCUACAUACAGAAAGAGACAGCUUCUUCCGGCAACCCAAAAACACUCCCGGAAAUGUCCAUAGUACUAAUCGGAGGAUCAACACCUACUGAAAAUUGAACAACAUCAUCUUCAAGAACUGAUGAAUGUUAUUCUAUAUUAACUUGUUCAAAUUAAAUAACAAUAAAAAACUAUGU